rnacentral:rRNA from 1 species
UCAGGACGAACGCUAGCGGCAGGCUUACACAUGCAAGUCGAACGGUAAGGCCCCUUCGGGGGUACACGAGUGGCGCACGGGUGCGUAACACGUAUGCAACCUACCCUUCAGCGGGGGAUAGUCGCGGGAAACUGCGAAUAAUACCCCAUACGAUCAUUGAUUGGCAUCGAUUGAUGAUGAAAGUUCCGGCGCUGAAGGAUGGGCAUGCGUCCCAUUAGCUAGUUGGUGAGGUAACGGCUCACCAAGGCGACGAUGGGUAGCUGGUCUGAGAGGAUGAUCAGCCACACGGGCACUGAGACACGGGCCCGACUCCUACGGGAGGCAGCAGUGAGGAAUCUUGGUCAAUGGGCGGAAGCCUGAACCAGCCAUGCCGCGUGGAGGAAGACGGCCCUCUGGGUUGUAAACUCCUUUAGCUAGGGGCUAAANUUGUGCUAUAGGCAUGAUUGCAGGUACCUAGAGAAUAAGCGCCGGCUAACUACGUGCCAGCAGCCGCGGUAAUACGUAGGGCGCAAGCGUUGUCCGGAUUUAUUGGGUUUAAAGGGUGCGUAGGCGGGUAUGUAAGUUCGUGGUGAAAUCGUCCGGCUUAACCGGAUACCCGCCAUGGAUACUGUGUAUCUUGAGUGUGGAUGAGGAAGUUAGAAUGCGUGGUGUAGCGGUGAAAUGCAUAGAUAUCACGCAGAAUACCGAUUGCGAAGGCAGACUUCUGGUCCAUAACUGACGCUGAGGCACGAAAGCGUGGGUAGCGAACAGGAUUAGAUACCCUGGUAGUCCACGCUGUAAACGAUGAUCACUAGGUGUUCGGCCUUUAUGGUUGAGUGCCCAAGCGAAAGCGAUAAGUGAUCCACCUGGGGAGUACGUCGGCAACGAUGAAACUCAAAGGAAUUGACGGGGGCCCGCACAAGCGGUGGAGCAUGUGG